rnacentral:rRNA from 1 species
CCCUUAGAUGUCCGGGGCUGCACGCGCGCUACACUGAUGCAUUCAACAAGCCUAGCCUUGACCGAGAGGUCCGGGUAAUCUUUGAAACUGCAUCGUGAUGGGGCUAGAUUAUUGCAAUUAUUAAUCUUCAACGAGGAAUGCCUAGUAAGCGUGAUUCAUCAAAUCGCGUUGAUUACGUCCCUGCCCUUUGUACACACCGCCCGUCGCUCCUACCGAUUGAAUGUGUUGGUGAGGAGCUCGGAUUGGCAGCAGUUGGUGGUUCGCCACCGGCUAUUGCUGAGAAGUCCUCCAAACCGCCCCAUUUAGAGGAAGGAGAAGUCGUAACA